GAUGAAGAACGUAGCGAAAUGCGAUACGUAAUGUGAAUUGCAGAAUUCAGUGAAUCAUCGAGUCUUUGAACGCACAUUGCGCCCCCUGGUAUUCCGGGGGGCAUGCCUGUUCGAGCGUCAUUUCAACCCUCAAGCUCUGCUUGGUGUUGGGCCCUGCCCGCUGCGGCCGGCCCUAAAGACAGUGGCGGUGCCGCCUGGCCCUGAGCGUAGUACAUCUCUCGCUCCAGUGCCCGGUGGUAGCCUGCCAGAACCCCAACUCUCGUGGUUGACCUCGGAUCAGGUAGGGAUACCCGCUGAACUUAAGCAUAUCAAUAAGCGGAGGA
rnacentral:misc_RNA from 1 species